rnacentral:rRNA from 1 species
ACGAACGCUGGCGGCGUGCCUAAUACAUGCAAGUCGAACGCUUCUUUUUCCACCGGAGCUUGCUCCACCGGAAAAAGAGGAGUGGCGAACGGGUGAGUAACACGUGGGUAACCUGCCCAUCAGAAGGGGAUAACACUUGGAAACAGGUGCUAAUACCGUAUAACAAUCGAAACCGCAUGGUUUUGAUUUGAAAGGCGCUUUCGGGUGUCGCUGAUGGAUGGACCCGCGGUGCAUUAGCUAGUUGGUGAGGUAACGGCUCACCAAGGCGACGAUGCAUAGCCGACCUGAGAGGGUGAUCGGCCACAUUGGGACUGAGACACGGCCCAAACUCCUACGGGAGGCAGCAGUAGGGAAUCUUCGGCAAUGGACGAAAGUCUGACCGAGCAACGCCGCGUGAGUGAAGAAGGUUUUCGGAUCGUAAAACUCUGUUGUUAGAGAAGAACAAGGAUGAGAGUAACUGUUCAUCCCUUGACGUUAUCUAACCAGAAAGCCACGGCUAACUACGUGCCAGCAGCCGCGGUAAUACGUAGGUGGCAAGCGUUGUCCGGAUUUAUUGGGCGUAAAGCGAGCGCAGGCGGUUUCUUAAGUCUGAUGUGAAAGCCCCCGGCUCAACCGGGGAGGGUCAUUGGAAACUGGGAGACUUGAGUGCAGAAGAGGAGAGUGGAAUUCCAUGUGUAGCGGUGAAAUGCGUAGAUAUAUGGAGGAACACCAGUGGCGAAGGCGGCUUACUGGACGAUAACUGACGCUGAGGCUCGAAAGCGUGGGGAGCAAACAGGAUUAGAUACCCUGGUAGUCCACGCCGUAAACGAUGAGUGCUAAGUGUUGGAGGGUUUCCGCCCUUCAGUGCUGCAGCUAACGCAUUAAGCACUCCGCCUGGGGAGUACGACCGCAAGGUUGAAACUCAAAGGAAUUGACGGGGGCCCGCACAAGCGGUGGAGCAUGUGGUUUAAUUCGAAGCAACGCGAAGAACCUUACCAGGUCUUGACAUCCUUUGACCACUCUAGAGAUAGAGCUUCCCCUUCGGGGGCAAAGUGACAGGUGGUGCAUGGUUGUCGUCAGCUCGUGUCGUGAGAUGUUGGGUUAAGUCCCGCAACGAGCGCAACCCUUAUUGUUAGUUGCCAUCAUUUAGUUGGGCACUCUAGCAAGACUGCCGGUGACAAACCGGAGGAAGGUGGGGAUGACGUCAAAUCAUCAUGCCCCUUAUGACCUGGGCUACACACGUGCUACAAUGGGAAGUACAACGAGUCGCAAAGUCGCGAGGCUAAGCUAAUCUCUUAAAGCUUCUCUCAGUUCGGAUUGUAGGCUGCAACUCGCCUACAUGAAGCCGGAAUCGCUAGUAAUCGCGGAUCAGCACGCCGCGGUGAAUACGUUCCCGGGCCUUGUACACACCGCCCGUCACACCACGAGAGUUUGUAACACCCGAAGUCGGUGAGGUAACCUUUUGGAGCCAGCCGCCUAAGGUGGGAUAGAUGAUUGGGGUG